rnacentral:rRNA from 1 species
GACGAACGCUGGCGGCGUGCUUAACACAUGCAAGUCGAACGGAAAGGCCCUGCUUUUGUGGGGUGCUCGAGUGGCGAACGGGUGAGUAACACGUGAGUAACCUGCCCUUGACUUUGGGAUAACUUCAGGAAACUGGGGCUAAUACCGGAUAGGAGCUCCUGCUGCAUGGUGGGGGUUGGAAAGUUUCGGCGGUUGGGGAUGGACUCGCGGCUUAUCAGCUUGUUGGUGGGGUAGUGGCUUACCAAGGCUUUGACGGGUAGCCGGCCUGAGAGGGUGACCGGCAACAUUGGGACUGAGAUACGGCCCAGACUCCUACGGGAGGCAGCAGUGGGGAAUAUUGCACAAUGGGCGGAAGCCUGAUGCAGCAACGCCGCGUGCGGGAUGACGGCCUUCGGGUUGUAAACCGCUUUCGCCUGUGACGAAGCGUGAGUGACGGUAAUGGGUAAAGAAGUACCGGCUAACUACGUG